GCGCUAGAGUCUCUAUCACAGUACCAAUUCUGAGCUGUCAGAAGGCUGCUCUAUUUUAUUCUUUUUUUUCUCUCUCUAUGUGACACAUUUUAGCUUUCUACAAAAAGGGAAUAAAGGGGAAGCGGCUCUGGCUAGCCUUGGAAAAGCUAUUUAGCUUGCAUAUUGUGGAACUGUCUUCCCUAGCUAGUUAGUGCCAUUUUAUAACACUGCAGCAUAUUGGAUCAAAGACUAGAACUGCCACCUCCUGUUUACAGUGGGCUGGAGCAGUCACAGAAUUGUCAGGGCUACUUUCUGUCUCGGUGUGAUUGGAAAUAAGACUGAAAACGGUAUCUUAGCAAGAAGAUGUGCACAAGCCUCUAAAAUUACGUUUUUGAGAGACAAAAGAAACACAAACAAGAAACAUGGGUACUCACCAUGUUCUUAUAACACCAGCUAAGUGGGCUUUGACGUAUGCUGAGAUCAGAGAGCAAGAUGCAUGCUGCAUCAUGGGACCAAGGAUCUUAUGAGGAUAUUUGGUAUCUAUAAUAUACCAUCUGUAUGUGAUUUAAGUCACUCUCAGAGGUGCAACCCUUUUGUUUACUUAUUCUGUGUGUUUUUACUGAAAAGCUGACUUGUAUGUGCAAGCAUCAUUUUGUGGACUCAGUGACGACUUAAGGACUAUUGCCUAAAGACUUCUAAGGGGCUUUUGCAGUUUGUACAGAUCCCCUUUUUCCAUCAAGGUCUUCUACAACCAAAUAGAACUGCUUAUAUUUUUAGUUCCAGAAGUUUCUACUUUAAUCAUGAUGGUGACUGUGCAUCCAUCACCUCAUGCAUACUGGGUGUGUAAUAUUUAAAGGGAUUAAACUUUGACAAUACUGUUUCCUUAGGUCUCACAAUGCUGUAUGUAAAAUAAAGGAGUAUGAACUAUUCAGUACCUUAUUUAUAUAUGAAACUAUUCAGUACACUUACUUACUUACUUAUAUGGUCUGGUAUAUUGGAAAAAAUUUUUGACACACUGAUAAGUACAUAUUUUGUAGAAAUUUUACAAAAUGGGAUCAAAAGUUGUAUUUGCAUCUCCCUUCCUAUAAUUUUUGUGCUUUUGUGAAAGAAAGGAUACAUAUAUAUAUAUGCAAAGUAUUUGGGACUGAAAAGUAUAGAAAUUUUUUCUUAAAUAUUUUAUAUACUUUCUGCAUUGAGAGAUCCUUAGGUUAAAUGCUGAAAUCUCUUCAGUAUUUUUCCUAAACUCCUCUUCAAAAAUGAAGAGACAAAAGACUUUGUAUUUUGGGUCUGUUAAUUCAAACAAGAAAUAAUGUCAAUGGAAACUAAUUAAUGAAAAAAAACCAAAACUGGUGCUCAGAACAUAAAUGGGACUUAGAAAUGCAGCUCCUAGAAUUUCCAGCCUGGUUCAGUUAGACUAUCAUAAUAGAGUGACUAUAAUUACUACCUAGUUAUAACUGUAUCUUUUCAUUAAUUACCUUUUCUCACAGACAUGUAGGCUCACACAUUUAUGCAUUAUGAUUCAGGCCAUGCUUUUUAUUAUUCUUUUUUAAACCUUGGUAUCCUUGUGUGCAUUUGCUCAAAAGAGAAGCUAAGACAAACCAUUUACUUUCUCUGUAUUGACCAAAAUUUAAUAAAUUUGUGAACUUACUUCACACCUGCACAUCAGACCCACUUCAAAUAACAUUCUAGUACCAUUCCUGAUACUCAUUCUUGCCUUGUAUAUUGAUUUUAAAUAUCUUCUUCUAGUUCCUCUCUAUGUGAAACUGUUUAAAAUAAAGAAAGGAAAGAACUCUGGUGGUUACAGGAGCCCUCCAGAAUAGCUUUCUCUGACACAAGUCCUCAUUUGGAGAAAUUAUUUCACAUUAAUGAUUCAACUCUCAUGGAAUUUUGGAAAUAUUUCACCAUGUAACUGAAAAGAACUACUUUGCAAGGAGAGGAACUAUGUUCUUGCCAUGUAGUGGACAGGUGAUUACAGUCAGCCAUUUCUUUCCUCUUUUCUUCUAGCUGCAAUCUCCAAGUCCUGUUUUAGAAAUAUUACCCCAGAGGAGGGGAAAAAAAUCCCUGAAAUGUUUGUUAGAUAAAAUGCAUUAUUUAAAAAAAAGAAAAUACAUUAAUUUGAAUACUGUUACUUAGGCAACAUCAGAGCUUCAGCAUAGCUAUCACUUACUCAGAAGGAAAAUGGCUCCAAGUACAUGUAAAUGUAGUUCAUGUAAUUUCUUUAUGGUUUUGGAAAGCAACCAGUUAAUCUCAGACCACCUGGUCAGGCUCUCUCUUGUUUUUGCAUCUAACUACUUAGUUUCACAUCUGGUACAGUUGAGAAAAAAUAAGGGAAAAAAGGUCUAGCUGGGUUGCUUUCCCUCUUCAUAAGAGUAAAGUCAGGCAUUCCUUAACUAUUUCACCUGUGAUUUGGAUUUCAUUUUUCUUUUCAGAGAACAGACUUGUUGGGAUGAUGACUUUAAAAUCCCUUGCCUAUGUUGAUAUUUAUAAACCACAGAGGGCGGAGGUUAAGCUCUGGCCCUGUUUUCAACGGCUUCUCUCAUCAGCCAAGGUCAGGAGCUGAGCUCCUGCGGGACCUUGGGUUCACAGUUUUAUUGCCAAUGAGCAAUGCCUUGAAACUGCAUCCAGUUCUGCACUUCAGAAGUUUAUGUGGUGCUGUUUUUAGUAUCUUGAUUAAAACUUAGUAGUAAACAUAAAGUAACUCUCCUGUCACUAUAUAUUUUCAAGUUUUACUAUUUUUUCACCACUCCUGUUUAUGAUCAGAGUAAUAAAUGCACCUCUGCAGGUUUUUCCCUGACAUUUUAUGCUUCUGACUUCAUUAAUAAAAUCUGCUAUAGAAAUGCUAAAACAAUGUCUCAGGCAGUUAAAUAAGCAGAAUGACCUUAUUAAAUAGGUGUUUUUCAAUAUUUAAAAGUAAGACAUUUUUUAGAUAAAAUAUGCAAUUCACCAGUUUGGUGUUCACAUACUUUUCUUUUUUCUUUUUUAACUCAGUAAAAGACAAUCCAGAAUAGCUCACCUCCACCUGCAAAUAAAUGUGGAAAGAAGCAGCCUGGACAGAUUUACCCUUACAGAACAUAAUUAUGAUAAUAGCUACACAUAGAUUUAUUUAAGAUUAUUCCUAUUCUUGGCAUUUUCUUAAAGAUUUGUGGAACUCUUAGCCUUUCCCCUUCCUUUUUUUCUCCUGGUAGUGCAGUGGGAUGAUCAGGUUCAGUGUCUAAUGAGGCAGCCAUUCCGAACACGUAGAGACAAAGAAGAGGUUUCCCUGGCAACGAGGACCAUGCCAGAGCUCUCAGAACAGUUAUUUUCCCCGUAUUCAGGUUCCUUUUCUGUUUAGGAUGCCUAUUAGUGUGAGUUCACAGGCAAUUCCUGGCAAGCUUUUCAGAGAUUACAGCUCCUAAAUAUACAUAACAAAAUAAAACUAAGGCUAUGAUUUAUGAGUAAACUAAAAAGUGGUAAACUGACAUAUAUUUUUUCCAGUUUUAUAUUUUUUUGUAGAAUCUUAAAACAAUUAUGACUGUUCAUUAUAUAUGUCUAAAGCUAUUAAAUACACUGCCCAUAUCUCUUUAGAGCUUUACUGGUCUCAACAAAAUUUGUGGGAGUUCACUGAAUUCUGAGCCAUAUUUCUGCUAUCGCUAGAAAAAGCACUGAUUGAGGUUUUAGAUCUAAAACAUGCAUUAAUUUAAGCACAUAUAGAUGUGAUGAAAUAUUUAGAACUGUAUGUAAUAUUUCUUGAAUUUAAACCUCAGUUUAAAUGUAGAGAAAAUUUACAGUAAUAAAGUAUUGAAAUGUUAGAUAUGUUUUACUAUUUAAAAGCAAAAUGAAUUUACAAUGAAAUUAAAUUCUUUAGUUCAAAUCUU